CCUCCAUCUUCGUGACGUACGAAGCCGCACAAGAUCGCCCCCGCUGACGACCUCAUAGAGAAGACGCCGCGAUCUCUUGCGAUCUUGCUGCCUCCGGGAUCGGCGUCUCUCGCCGCCACCGACCUCCAGGAUCGGCGUCUCUCGCUACCGCGGGAUCCCGCAUCAUACCAGAGGAGACACUGUCUACGGAGUCCGGGAUCAACGCCGCGGACGUAAGGGAUCACCGUCGCCGACCUUCCAGACGAGACAUCGCCGCCGCCGACCUCCGAGGGAGACGCCGCCGCCACCUGUCGUAAACCCUAGGACAGGGCGGUUUCAACUUUCAACCCCAGGGCAGGCCGACAACUUGUCGAUUUGUUGUUCUUCCCUUAUAAGAUCCUUGAGGAUAGGUGCGGCAACUAGCGACACAUGGUGGAGCUUCUGGCGGUGGCAUUACCUGUAUCCACCUCUCCCUGGUCGCCUUUAAGAGUGUGUGCGGUCGACCGUUAAGCUUGUCAUGACGCCCUUUGAAUUUCUGGGCAAGUCGCAGCCUUUUCAGAUUCAUCAACACAAGUUACAUCAGUAGUCAAUAUGGUUCAGAUGCAUAAUAUUGCGGGGUGGAAGUUGUCGAUGUUGUUCAAUUGUAUGCUGCCCCUUGAGGGGAAGCCGUGCGUGCGCCCAGUGAGGAGAAGCGGCAAGGGCUCCAGGUGUGAGAGGCUGAAGCUCGGGGACGACGCCAUCAUGCACAAGAGGGCAUACAGGAGGUUGUCCGAAUUCAUGUUCCUCAUGCUCUGAAGGACCAAAGGGAUUUGGGUGGUCAACUCUGAAGCUUGGAAUUGUCGUUUCUUUUCUGAAAAAUCUGAACUUCUGCAUAUGUCUCAUCCCUGAACUUUGCCGCUUGACUUGAUUGUGCCCAGUUAAAAUGGAUGAGAAGGCCCGUCUAGGUGUGCUCGUGCCACAUGUGUAAGAUUGUCAGAAAUUGAUUUUUUUGUGUGUGUGGUCUCUUUACUCCCCCGCCUACCUCAAUGGCAGAUGUGAAGAACCACCUCAAUCAGAUGUGCUUUGCCGCGUCAUGCUAGAACUAUAAUUGCCGGCUGCCGUGCAAAACCACCUUUGGCGAUCAAGAUUGAUGACCUGAUGUCACAUGGCGGCUGGUUAGUCGGCGGCGGCUGGAGCCAUCAUUGACCACGACCGUGCCAGGAGCACCGGGGAAAAGGCGAGGACAUGUUGGUACUGAUGGAAUAAUGUGGAUUGGGUCGUCCUCCUCCAGAAACAUAUUACACAGUAUACUUAAGUCGAUUGAUCCUAUUUGGUAAAAAUGCCCCUCAUUUGCUUGAUUAAACUCUACCUUGGUAAAAUUAAUUGAGUUGGGAACAGUAACAUAUAUACAUCUGCUAUGUCUGGUAUCUAUCUGGUUAUAUUAAACUGACAGUUUAUUCUUCUUGCUGGAAGGAUAUGUCGUGAAAGAUGAUCCAGAUGCUAUUAAAGUUGUAACCUUUGACUGUCCAUGAUACGGUUGCUCUUGCUUCAUCUAAAUGGUACGUCUGGACUGCCAUGAGACCGCGAUUGGUGUAGGAAAUCUUAAAAGCUAUCAUAUUGGUCACAAGAACUUGCAAUACAUCAAUGCACUAUUCUUUUGAAUUUUUUAGUGACACCACAACUACCACCUCUUCACUAAAUGACAGAGGUUGCUAGCAACUGCACUUGGAAAGAUUGAAUUUAGAGACUGUACCCCAAAUUCUUCCAUACUCUAAUGAUCUUGUGUUCAAGUAAGUAAUAUCUAUCAUUGUAUAAAAUCUUCUGAAUUUAACUGUAUCUAAAAGAAGAUGUUUUUUGGUUUUCUAGGGAGCAUCAACUACAUGUUAUGUCAGGCUUGACCAUAUCAGGUGAAGGGAGUGACAAGCAAGUACUUUGUUGACAAUGAGGAGAAGACAAGCAAUAUGAAAAGAUAACCAUGUACACAACAGAGAGAAAAUGUUGACUAUUCUUCGCAUCCUACCUAUUGGUAAUGAGAGAAUAUAGCACUGUUUAUUUGA